rnacentral:lncRNA from 1 species
UAAAUUCCCGGCGAUGUCAGAUCGCGUGAUGGCGGUGCCGGUUCGAAGCCCCCUCUCUCAAAGCGACUUCCAGCAGACCAUGACGGGGAUCAAGGUGAGCAAGUUGAAGGAACGUUGAUCUGAAUGAAAGCCCUCGACAAAAUAAAUGGGAUGUGUUUUCCCGUCUUGCUGGACCGUGAAAAGGACACCGCGAUGUUUUAAGAAAACUGCCAGGCUGGUGUUUGCACCUGGUCCUCUCCUUGCGUUCGGCUGGGGAUGGGGGGAUGCAGCCCCAAAAUCGAGCUCCUUCAGUGCCUACAGGGAGUGAAGAGGGACCCCAGCCUGCACCAGGUGGGUCUCAUCCUGCUUCUGGCCCCAAGGACAUCGGCCAGGCUGCCCCCAUCUCAUCAGGCACAGGAGCAGCCCAGGACACCAAGCACCUGGUCUAAUUCCCAGUGUCCCCUUGGUGUUGUUUUUACCCAGCCACUCAUUAGCACCAUCAACAAAAAGCGUGCUUUGGGUGCUUUUCUGCUCCUGUUCUGGCCUGGAGGGAAGCACAUCCACAAAAGUUUCUGGCCCCUGGCUUGGAUUGCGCACGCAAUCUAGCAGGCAGCAGAACAAAUUGUCAUAAUUGUGUUUAAUUAAAAAGCGUAAAUGGAUUAUCUGCAGAUAAAAACUGCUGCCUGCUCCCGCUUUUGCAUGGUUUGUGGCACACCAGACCCCUUGCCCCGGGAGUUCAGCGGGGCCGAGAGGUGCCCAGGGGCUCGGGGCCGGCAGUGCCGCUGCAGCCGCCCCUGCGGCAUGAGGAGCACGGCUCGGACGCCCAGCGCCGGGGGCGCGCACGGAGCUGCGGGCGCGCCCCGAGGGGCCCCGGCGCCGGGAGCCGCUGCUCCGCCGGGAGAACGGCCCCGAGCCGCCGCUCCCCGCUCCGGCCCGUCCUUCCCUUCCUUCCCUUCCUUCCCUUCUUUCCCUUCCUUCCCUUCCCUUCUUCCCUUCCACCGCCUUCUCCCCGCCGGGCUGACCACGCGGCUGAAUUUAUGAAGAGCGAUGUUUUAGCAGAAAUCCCCCCGAGUCUCCCAUCAGCCCUAAAUCCCCAGCCUGCUCUCCCUGGGAGACCUCAUGACACAGAGCAUGCCAAAACAGCUUCGUUUUGCCUAUGCAUUAGCAAUCUAUUUUACCUUUUUGACAUCUCUCACACAUAAAACCGUAAGAGAGAAAUAAAAUAUCUGUCUCUGGGCGAAAAUAAAGCUUU